UACUCCUACGGGAGGCAGCAGUAGGGAAUCUUCCACAAUGGACGCAAGUCUGAUGGAGCAACGCCGCGUGAGUGAAGAAGGCUUUCGGGUCGUAAAACUCUGUUGUUGGAGAAGAAUGGUCGGCAGAGUAACUGUUGUCGGCGUGACGGUAUCCAACCAGAAAGCCACGGCUAACUACGUGCCAGCAGCCGCGGUAAUACGUAGGUGGCAAGCGUUAUCCGGAUUUAUUGGGCGUAAAGCGAGCGCAGGCGGUUUUUUAAGUCUGAUGUGAAAGCCCUCGGCUUAACCGAGGAAGUGCAUCGGAAACUGGGAAACUUGAGUGCAGAAGAGGACAGUGGAACUCCAUGUGUAGCGGUGAAAUGCGUAGAUAUAUGGAAGAACACCAGUGGCGAAGGCGGCUGUCUGGUCUGUAACUGACGCUGAGGCUCGAAAGCAUGGGUAGCGAACAGGAUUAGAUACCCUGGUAGUCCAUGCCGUAAACGAUGAAUGCUAGGUGUUGGAGGGUUUCCGCCCUUCAGUGCCGCAGCUAACGCAUUAAGCAUUCCGCCUGGGGAUUACGACCGCAAGGUUGAAACUCAAAGGAAUUGACGGA
rnacentral:rRNA from 1 species